rnacentral:rRNA from 1 species
UGAUUAAAGUGUUCUAUUUAUAGAAACUUUUGCCAUCUGUAAAAAGGCUGGCGAAUAAGGAGUGGGCAAGACCGGUGCCAGCCGCCGCGGUAAUCCCGGCAGUCCAAGUCGCAGCCACAAUUAUUGGGUCUAAAAUAUCCGUAGCUUACUUAAGAAGUUUCCUGUGAAAUCUUACAUCUUAAGUGUAAGGCGAGCAAGAAAUACUCUUAAGCUAGAGACCGGCAGGUGUAAGAAGUACGUUUGAGGUAGUGGUAAAAUAUUCUAAUCUCAGAUGGACUGACAGUCGCGAAGGCGUCUUACAAGGACGGUUCUGACAGUGAGGGAUGAAGGCUAGGGGCGCAAAAGGGAUUAGAUACCCCUGUAGUCCUAGCAGUAAACACUGCUCACUAAACAUUAGUACCUCCUCGAGAGGUAUUGGUGCUGCAGCGAAGGCGAAGAGUGAGCUACCUGGGAAGUAUAGUCGCAAGGCCGAAACUUAAAGGAAUUGGCGGGGGAGCACUACAACGGGUGACGCGUACGGUUCAAUUAGAUUCCACACCGUGAACCUCACCAGGAUCGACUGCAGAAUGAAGGUCAGUCUGAAGGGCUUACCUGACACGCAGAGAGGAGUUGCAUGGCCGACGUCAGCCUGUGUCGUGAGAUGACCUGUUAAAUCAGGUAACAGGCGAGAUCCGCGUGUACAGUUGCUACGUUAAGAGCACACUGUACAGACUGCCCUGGUAACGGGGAGGAAGGUGCGGGCUACGUUAGGUGAGUACGGGCCCAAUUAUCUGGGCAACACGCGCCCGGCAUGAACACACCAAUGGAGACCGCCUCUGAAGAGACUACCCUAACUUACUAUCAUUGAGUUUACCCCCAUCCAUCAAUGAAGCUUGGAAUCCGAAGGAUU